rnacentral:lncRNA from 1 species
AGAUCUGCCUGUCUCCACCUCCCUUGUGAUGGAAUCAUUGAUGUGCACUGCCUUUAAAACAACUCAGUUACACUACUUAGCAGUAUUUUUUAUUUUCUUUUUAAUUUUUUUUAUUUUUUGAAAUUAUAAUUUCAAUUUCCCACCUUCCUUUCCUAUACAACCCUUCCAAUAUGACCCUUCUACCUUGUUCUCACUCCCAAAUUCAUGGCUUCUUUAUCUUUAAUUGGUUGUUAAACAUAUGUAUAGUAUAUGUGUAUGUUUAUCUAUUCCUAAAUAUGUAAAUAUAACCUACUUAGUCAAUAUAAUAUUACUCAAAUGGUUUUAGGACUGAUGAUUGGUAUUGGAUAGCCAACAAAGUGACUCUUCCCAGGACAAAAGUACUUCUGAGUAGUCUUUGGCAUCCUGAAGUUCUUUGUUUAGCCUUGAGGCUGUCAGUUGGUGUUUUCCUGCUAGGACCUGGGAGUGUUUGGAUUUUGGAAAAUCGCAUGAUCAAUAGAUGGACCUUAAUAUAGAGAUCUGAACUGCUUCAGACAUCAGUAAAGCACAUGUGCCCCAUGGUCUCUAAGAGUGAGGAAGGGAGACCACAUGUCAUAUUCACCCUUCUAAGUGAUGAACUACUCUAGUUGUUUAUGUCUCUUAUCUAGUUUGACUAGUAACAGGUCAUAUUUACUAAGUGCUUUCUUGGUGGCAGGCAUUCUUUAUAAGUGCUUUAUGAACAUGCAUGCCUGUGAUCUUUUAGAAAUGAGGAAACCAGGACACAAGGGGUUACAUAAUUUGCAUGAGAUUCUACAGUAGGCCCAGAAGGAGGUAUGGUGACCUCAGAAGUCUGGCCAUAGGCUGUAUGUAAGACCUGAGGAUAAGUUUGACCCCAAAAAGAAACACUCAGCAAGGUCUCUCAAAGCAGCUCCUCCCAAGGUGGACCCAACAUCUUUCAUAGCACUACUGAACCACUGUUCACAUGGCCCUCUCCACUCAGGCUCAGGACAUUUCUUCCCUCUAGCUCUUCUAUUCUACAGUUUUUUUUUUCAAGCCCAAAUAACUGCUCCACCAUAAAAACCUUCCCAGAUCCCCAUUUGGAAGCCACCUCCAUCUUUGGUUGAAUCAAGCUUACUGUCCACUCUCCUAUGCCACUUUGUCUUGACAGUUGGUUAGUUAAUAAGGCUUUGGAACAAGGGCUUAUUAUUGAGAAUGCUUCCCAGAUAAACACAAUAGAUGUCCUAAAAACUUAAAUAACGGUUUCUAGGGCGGUUCCUGAUAUGGACUCACAGGAUAGAUAUUUGUGUGUGGGUCAUGAAGGAGGGACUGUUUUUGUUUGAUUGAUUGUUUGUUUGUGUGUUAUCUACUCUUUAGUGAUCCAGAAAUAUUCAGCUCUAGUUCAGUUCAGAGACAAGAAGUUUUAGUCUAUAUGGAGUUAAUCCAGAAGAACAUAAGAGUUAAGACUCUACCAAUCAUCCGAGUCCAAUUCUCCCUUAUUAACUACCUACUUCCCUCAAGCAACUCCCUAAGCUCACUGCAUCUCCACUUCCUCCCCUAUGAAUUAAUUAGUACUAACUGUUUCAUUGAGACCCCUUAAGAAGUGACAUCAUCACUCAGAGUUCACAGACUGGCUCUAAAAUUCACAAAGGCUCACAUCCUUGUAACAUUUGCAUUUGACCUAUGUGCAUCUCUUUAUAGUCUUUAAAUUAUCCCUAGCAUACUUCUAAUAUCCAAUUACACUGCAAACACCCGGUUGCUAUGUGCUAUGCUGUGUUGAUUAGGAAAUAACGAAAAGGAAAAGGCUGUGCUAUGGGUGAAGUUCUCUUCAGGUUGCAGAACUAGAAGGUUGUAAAUGACAGAAGCAGGGAAGGCAAAGGUGACUGGCUCCCAGAGAUGGUUGAUCACAGCCAUGCCAAUAGCAUUAAAUGGUUCUUCCUUUUAGAGUGAGGGGCUCUAGCAUCAGACACAGCAUUUUCUAGGGAAAUGGUUUUUAGAAGAGAGGCCUUGCUUUCACUGUUCAAAACUUUUAAACUUCAGCCUACUGUCUAGCAGGCCAUGGGCAGCCUGGGUUUUAUUUAGUUUGAUUUUUGACUUUUUUUUUUCUUUCUGCUGUUAGCUUCAAAGACAAUUCUGCUCUUCAAAAGCCCUGUCUCAGUCUUCUCCAGAUUGGGCUUUGCACUGGGCAGGGGAGGGUGCUGUUGGACACAGUAUUCUAAACUCAGGCCUCUUGCCUAAUUACACUGCAGUCAGCUUUUUCUAUGGAAGCCCCCAGCAUGGCAGAUGCCUUCUUUGAAGUCAUUAGUCUUCACAGCAGGGCGAGCACAUCAUCAAAGACUCUGUUUCCCAGCACCCCCUGCUGCACCCUUGUGCACCAGAGGAUUGGGGGGGGGGGGAGGAGAGCAGCAUAUACAUGCAUUAAGUCUACUGUUUUCUGGGCCUAAACCACAAAUCCUUUGAACUAAAAGCUCAGGGAGGAGGUCAUUGAUGAUCCUAUCUCAGAAUUUUUCCCCAUUCUCGCUAUCUUCAACCAAUUUAGAAAUUAAAUUUACUAUGGCCUGAGAUAUAGAAUGUAGGGCAUGGUUGGAGUUUGAGUUGGUAACCUAAGGCACUAUGAGAUAGGGGUUGG